rnacentral:lncRNA from 1 species
GACUGCUUCAGCAGCAGGCUCCUGACAUGCCUGACCAAACACUGGCCACAGAUAAGAUUUCCUACCACAUUAGCCCCCCAGAUCUCUGCCUGUAGAGUCCAGCGGAAGCAAGAUAGAGGCCUGACUGUGAUGGCAGCCCACCUGCCACACCACCUCCUGGAAUGAGACAGAACUGAUUAAUUGGACUGACCUAGUCCCAGGUCUCAUACUAUUCAAACACUAAUCUGAUUUUUCUGUCAUCCACCACCAAAUCAACUUUUAGCAUGUGGAACUUCUAGAGAAGUUUCAGAUAGGAGAAAUGAAGAAGUUCGAGAAAUGCCAUCCCAAAAUACAUCCCUUUGAUAGACUGAUUACUUCAAAUGGAGGGAACCUGGGGAACAGCAAGGGCAGGGAGGACUUUCUUUGACCUUCCCUUAUCUACCUAAACACGGAUCCUCCAAAAGGAACUUCAGUGUCACGAAUCCCCUCCCCAGGAAUCUUCUCAAUCAGGAAAGAUGAGCUCAGAUCACAGGAGAUGAGACUGGAGGUUGGCACCACGCCCAGAUCUAUUCUUCUGGGACAACUUUUCUUAACUAAGAGACUUAUAAUCUGCAUAACAAGACAACUUUUAUUCACCAUACACUUCCUCCCUGCACCCUCCCAUAAUUUAGGUCACCACCACCUCCUAGAAGCCGCAAGCCCCUCUUUUUUCUGUAGCUCAGGAUGCUAUAUAAGCUUCAAUCAUCUGGCCCUUCUUUGAAUCUCAUAUAUUGUGGGGCUCCUGUGCAUACUUACUUAAUUAAAAUGAGUUUUUUUCUACUGUUAAUCUGCCUUAUGUCAAUUUAAUAUGUAGCCCAGUCAAAGAACCUAGAAGGGUACAGGGAAGCCAUUUUUUGCUCCCCUACACCAGGCACAUAGUUGGGACUUGGGGAUCAAAAAAU